rnacentral:rRNA from 1 species
UCCUACGGGAGGCAGCAGUGGGGAAUAUUGCACAAUGGGCGAAAGCCUGAUGCAGCGACGCCGCGUGAGGGAUGACGGCCUUCGGGUUGUAAACCUCUUUCGCUCAUGGUCAAGCCGCAACAUGUGGUUGUGGUGAGGGUAGUGGGUAAAGAAGCGCCGGCUAACUACGUGCCAGCAGCCGCGGUAAU